UACGGGGGGAGUAAGCGUUGUUCGGAUUUACUGGGCGUAAAGGGCGCGUAGGCGGCGCGACAAGUCACUUGUGAAAUCUCCGGGCUUAACUCGGAGCGGCCAAGUGAUACUGUCGUGCUAGAGUGCGGAAGGGGCAACUGGAAUUCUCGGUGUAGCGGUGAAAUGCGUAGAUAUCGAGAGGAACACCUGCGGCGAAGGCGGGUUGCUGGGCCGACACUGACGCUGAAGCGCGAAAGCCAGGGGAGCGAACGGG
rnacentral:rRNA from 1 species